GACGAACGCUGGCGGCGUGCUUAACACAUGCAAGUGGAGCGACGAACCAGGGCUUGCCCUGGGGCAGAGCCGCGAACGGGUGAGUAACACGUGGGUAACGUGCCCCGAUGACUGGGACAACCCGGGGAAACCCGGGCUAAUACCGGAUGUGCCCCCUCACAUCAGUGAGGUGUGUAAAGGAGGCUUCGGCCUCCGCAUCGGGAUCGGCCCGCGGCCCAUUAGCUUGUUGGUGAGGUAACGGCUCACCAAGGCUGCGAUGGGUAGCUGGUCUGAGAGGACGAUCAGCCACACUGGGACUGAGACACGGCCCAGACUCCUACGGGAGGCAGCAGUGGGGAAUCUUGCGCAAUGCGCGAAAGCGUGACGCAGCAACGCCGCGUGGGGGAAGACGGCCUUCGGGUUGUAAACCCCUUUCAGUUGGGACGAAGGUCGGGCGGUUAACAGCCGUUCCGGCUGACGUUACCUUCACAAGAAGCCCCGGCUAACUACGUG
rnacentral:rRNA from 1 species